rnacentral:rRNA from 1 species
UACGAAGGGGGCUAGCGUUGUUCGGAAUUACUGGGCGUAAAGCGCGCGCAGGCGGUCCUUUAAGUCUGAUGUGAAAGCCCUCGGCUCAACCGAGGAGGGUCAUUGGAAACUGGAGGACUUGAGUGCAGAAGAGGAAAGUGGAAUUCCAAGUGUAGCGGUGAAAUGCGUAGAGAUUUGGAGGAACACCAGUGGCGAAGGCGACUUUCUGGUCUGUAACUGACGCUGAGGCGCGAAAGCGUGGGGAGCAAACAGG